rnacentral:rRNA from 1 species
GACAGAGGGGGCAAGCGUUGCUCGGAAUUACUGGGCGUAAAGGGCGCGUAGGCGGGAUGGCAAGUCGGUCGUGAAAUCCCUCGGCUCAACCGAGGAACGUCGAUCGAUACUGCUGUUCUUGAGGAUUGCAGAGGAGACUGGAAUUCCCGGUGUAGCGGUGAAAUGUGUAGAGAUCGGGAGGAACACCGGUGGCGAAGGCGGGUCUCUGGGCCGGUUCUGACGCUCAGGCGCGAAAGCGUGGGAGCGAUCCGG